rnacentral:ncRNA from 6 species
GGUAGCCAAAUGCCUCGUCAUCUAAU